CUUCCUCUUCCUCUUCCUCUCUUUUCUUUUUUUUUCCAUCUUUUUUUUCCAUAUGGUAGUACCGUUUUAGAUUUUCAGAGGAGGAAGAGGGAAU
rnacentral:ribozyme from 13 species